GACCGGCACUCUGGAAAGCGGGCGGGACACCGCCCCACCGAAGGGGUAAGCAUGGGCGCCGGCUGGCGUUCCUGCGAAAGCUCUCAGGUUCCGUGACAGAGGGGGCGGC
rnacentral:ncRNA from 2 species